AAGAGACAGCAGUAGCCGCGGUAAUACGUAGGUGGCAAGCGUUGUCCGGAAUUAUUGGGCGUAAGGGGCUCGCAGGCGGUUUCUUAAGUCUGAUGUGAAAGCCCCCGGCUCAACCGGGGAGGGUCAUUGGAAACUGGGAAACUUGAGUGCAGAAGAGGAGAGUGGAAUUCCACGUGUAGCGGUGAAAUGCGUAGAGAUGUGGAGGAACACCAGUGGCGAAGGCGACUCUCUGGUCUGUAACUGACGCUGAGGAGCGAAAGCGUGGGGAGCGAACAAGAUUAGAUACCCCAGUAGUCCCUGUCUCUUAUAA
rnacentral:rRNA from 1 species